CGCGAGCGGGGCAGGAGCUGCGGGCUCAGGGCAGCAGGUAGCGAGCCGAGCCCCUCUCUCCAGACGCCCUAUUUAAGCCAGGGUGUCAGUUGCUGACGAAUCAUCUUAAACCCCCCCAAAGUGAGCAAACUCCCGCGCCCUUGGCGUUUGCUGGCGGAAACUCCUUCGCCUUAACCAAGCGCGGGUUCCGUGUUCCUGAACUGAGACCACGGGCACGUCGGCUCUUUUCAGAAGGUCAAGCGGCUAAUCCUCGAAGUCAUCCGGCAUAGCCAGAGUCUGUUUUUUUCCCCCCCGUCCGAAAUGGCAAUUGUAACAGCCACAGGGCUCCCAGGAGACGUGGGUGCAAUAACGCUUCAUGCCCAGUGUGGAGUCCAGUUCGAGGCUUGAACUCUGGAACCUGAGAUCAAAACCUGAGCUGAGAUCAAGAUACGGAUGCUUA